rnacentral:rRNA from 1 species
GACGAACGCUGGCGGCGUGCUUAACACAUGCAAGUCGAACGGAGUGGCGAACGGGUGAGUAACACGUGGGUGACCUGCCCUGCACUUCGGGAUAAGCCUGGGAAAAUGGGUCUAAUACCGGAUAGUGUGGACUGGGCCCGCGCCCUCUUAGCUUGUUGGUGGGGUAAUGGCCUACCAAGGCGGCGACGGGUAGCGGGCCUGAGAGGGUGGACGGCCACAUUGGGACUGAGACGCGGGCCAGAUUCCUACGGGGGGCAGCAGGUGCGAAUAUUGCUCAAUGGGUGUAAGCCUGAUGCAGCGACGCCGCGUGGGGUAUGACGGCCUUCGGGUUGUAAACUCCUUUCACCAUCGACGCGGUAGAUGGAGAAGAAGCACCGGCUAACUACGUGCCAGCAGCCGCGGUAAUAC